rnacentral:rRNA from 1 species
CGCGUAGGCGGUCUAUCAAGUCAGGCGUGAAAGCCUUGGGCUUAACCUGAGAACUGCGUUUGAUACUGGUAGACUAGAGGACGAGAGAGGAAAGUGGAAUUCCGAGUGUAGAGGUGAAAUUCGUAGAUAUUCGGAGGAACAUCAGAGGCGAAGGCGACUUUCUGGCUCGUAUCUGACGCUGAGGCGCGAAAGCGUGGGGAGCAAACA